rnacentral:tRNA from 1 species
GCGAGAGUGGCGGAACUGGCAGACGCGCAGGAUUCAGGAUCCUGUGGGGUAACACCUGUGGGGGUUCAAGUCCCCCCUCUCGCA